rnacentral:lncRNA from 1 species
AGUAAUGUGAUACACGUCUCACUAGCGAGAUACUUUGGGGUCGUGACACACUUAAUAAAGUAUACACGUCUAUCAUCGUCAUAUGGCCAGGCUGCCGACGAACAGACACCGUUUCUCGUUUCUCUCCUCCUCCUGUUUUCCAACCUUUCUCCGCUAACUCUAUAAGUUACAAAAUUUUCUGACGCUUUCGAUCACUGUCUCAACUUCAUUCUUUCUUCUCUUGGUAACUUGCCGGUAAUUUUCUUUUCGUGUUAUUUUCUUUCGAGUCUAUUUUUAUGUGAUUUUUUCAUCUGGGUGUGAAUUUUUCUUUCGGUGGACAGUUGAGUUUCUGAUCAAUUAUUAGCUUUGUAUGUUGAUUUAAAGCUGAAAAUUAUUUUCAUACAACACUUAUGUUAUUUGAUUUUGAAAUCGAAUGUAUAAAAUUUCUUUCCUCAUUGCUUUGGAAUUGAAUAUCGAGGCAUUAGUCGAAACCCCAAAUCUGCUUUCUGUUAUUGCUUCCCUUGCUCGCAGGCAGCUUCAUCAAUUGAUAUUUCUGGUGAAGCUGCUCCCUCGACUGAAUGUCGCACUCUGGCUUUGCAACUUAGUCUAUGCUCUUCGCAUUUAAUGAAAAUUUUCACUCUUUUAUGUGGUUUUUUUGUACAUUUUUCUUUAUAUAUAGCAGGGAUUUGCAUAUUAACGCGGUCGACCCCUAUGCCAUAAUUUCUCAAAACGAGGAGGCCAUAGAUAAAUUUGACAUUAGUGAUUCCGCUGGCAAACCUCGAGGGUCGAAUGUAGGUGACAAUGCUUGGGAAAAGGGAACAUAAGGAAAUCAAAGAAUUCAAUGGAGCUCAUUGUCUCAUAUUUUGGGGGAUAAAGAAAGAUGAAGUGGUUUAAUGCCAUGGGCAGCUGCAAAGAGACUUUCCACUUCAAAAGCUGCUAAAGCUUUUGAUCACUAAAAUUCUGCAAAAAUCUCGACUAAAUAUAGAAAAGAUCGGAUUCCAAUUUUUAUCAAAAAGAAACUGAAGAUCUAAUGCUUCAACUACAUAGUUCAACUCAUUAAAGAAAUGGAGCAAGAUAAAAGCACUGCAAGUGUUCCAUCCAUUUAGAAACGUCAGAGAAAGUAGUUUGUAAUUAUUCUGAACAGAAAGCUGUUGUUGCUUAUUAAAGAUACUACCACCUGGGAACUUUCAUUGGUGACAUACGAUCACAUGUUACCCUAGGAGUAUCAAUUAUUUGCUUUUUCAUUAUUGUAUCUUCUAUCAUCUGGCUAAAGAAUAAGACAAUUCCAUAAAGAUGGCGUUAAACCUUUGAACAAUUUAAUGAAGUUCUGGAUCUUAAUACCUGAUGGUUACUGUAUUCGAGAGCUUUUCCAGUCUUUCAUGACAGUGCCUUCCAAUUUUUACGUUCUUUUAUCUGUUAUUCUGUUCAACAUGUAGAUCUUCUGUAUGCAUACUUUUGUGAUCCUAUAUAUCACAAUAGUCUUGAAGCAAUACUUUCACAAGAUGUAACAAGAUUGAACAUUUCUCAUUUUACAGGCAGAGGUAAAUCAUAAACUCAGCAAUUCAAAGAAAGCAAUGACGAAAGUUGCUCCAUUAUGAAGUCACGAGGACCUUACAAGAAAAUUCAAGGUGACUACUGACUUUCGAGAUUCUUUAAAUUCUUCAUCAUUACGGUACAAAAUUAUUUUGUUUAGAUAGGUUAUUGGAAGUGUAUCUUGAAAAUCAAUACUGAUUAGCUUAUAUCCACAAUUAUGAAAGUUAUAUUAAUUUUAAGAUUUGAAGUACGGAUAACAAUCCCUUUUUGUCAAAACAAAAACUAUUGAUAAGAAUAUUGAGAAGAACUGUUGGAUAAGUGAAUUGGAG